rnacentral:rRNA from 1 species
UACGGGGGGGGCAAGCGUUGUUCGGAAUUACUGGGCGUAAAGGGCGCGUAGGCGGCCUUCUAAGUCGGACGUGAAAUCCCUCGGCUUAACCGAGGAACUGCGUCCGAUACUGAAAGGCUUGAAUCCGGGAGAGGGAUGUGGAAUUCCAGGUGUAGCGGUGAAAUGCGUAGAUAUCGUAAGGAAGACCAGUGGCGAAGGCGGGUCUCUGGACAGUUCCUGACGCUGAGGCACGAAGGCCAGGGGAGCAAACGGG